rnacentral:rRNA from 1 species
AGAGUUUGAUCCUGGCUCAGGAUGAACGCUAGCUACAGGCUUAACACAUGCAAGUCGAGGGGAAACGACAUCGAAAGCUUGCUUUUGAUGGGCGUCGACCGGCGCACGGGUGAGUAACGCGUAUCCAACCUGCCCAUCACUUGGGGAUAACCUUGCGAAAGUAAGACUAAUACCCAAUGACGUCUCUAGAAGACAUCUGAAAGAGAUUAAAGAUUUAUCGGUGAUGGAUGGGGAUGCGUCUGAUUAGCUUGUUGGCGGGGUAACGGCCGACCAAGGCGACGGAUCAGUAGGGGUUCUGAGAGGAAGGUCCCCACCAUUGGAACUGAGACACGGUCCAAACUCCUACGGAGGCA